CACAGAGUUAGCCGGUGCUUAUUCUGUCGGUAACGUCAAAACAAUUACGUAUUAAGUAACUGCCCUUCCUCCCAACUUAAAGUGCUUUACAAUCCGAAGACCUUCUUCACACACGCGGCAUGGCUGGAUCAGGCUUUCGCCCAUUGUCCAAUAUUCCCCA
rnacentral:rRNA from 1 species